rnacentral:rRNA from 1 species
UACGUAGGGUCCGAGCGUUGUCCGGAGUUACUGGGCGUAAAGGGCGCGCAGGCGGCGGUGCUGGCCCGGCGUGAAAGCCCCCGGCUCAACCGGGGAGGGUCGUCGGGGACCGCACCGCUUGAGGGCGGUAGGGGCCGGUGGAAUGCCUGGUGUAGUGGUGAAAUGCGUAGAUAUUGGGAGGAACACCAGUGGCGAAGGCGGCUACCUGGACCGGUUCUGACGCUGAUGCGCGAAAGCGUGGGUAGCAAACAGG